rnacentral:lncRNA from 1 species
GCUCGUUUGGAUCAUUUUAAGAAGUUUAUAGAACUUGCCUCCCUUGUGGUAUUAUUCAUGUGAUUCAUCUUAUUUCUCUGGUUUUCUGCAUGUUAUCUUCUACUUUCAACUCGUUUCUUCAUACUCUGUCUUCCUCUACCACCUAGCUACUGAGUACUUUGUUUUUUUCUCAUUCAUAACUUGAGUUUGUGCAGCCUCUAUAGGCAUGGUCUCUACUCAGCCUCAUCUUUCUGCACAUAUCUGUUUCCAUUCUUGGUCUCCAUACUGCCCAGUUGUCAUUAAAUUGAGAAUCCGAUUGCCUGUGGAUUAAGUUUCCUCAGACUACAGGUGUAGCAUUUGUUAUUUGGCAGUCUAGGACAUUUCCCUCUAUUGAUUGCCAUGUGGAAAUGGUUUCCUUUCCCUUUUUGUAAUCCCAAAGUGCUUUAGACUAACUUAACUUACCUAUCACAGGUAUAUCCAGAGUCACUUAAUUGCUCUAAAACCAGAAGGCAACCCAGUUGUGGGACAUCCAAAAGUACCAUACAUACCUAACUAUUUUUGGAACCUGAAGUCUCACAAAUGAAUACAUGACCCUGCUUUCUCUAUAUCCUUUGAGUAUCUUCCUGCUGCUAUCUGGCUUCCUCAUCCUCUGUUCUUUAUCCUAUUUCUGAUGGAUAGUUUCUGCUAAUUUUUAGCUUCUUAUUUUUGGGUUUACCAGUUGAUCUUACUUAAAUCCUUCAUGAUUCUUAACAUAGGCUGUGGUAUAUUCUUUGAUCACAUAUCCAUUCAUUUCAGCUGCAGAGUAAUUUUACUCCUCUCUUUUUCCUCAGUUGUAAGUUAAACCUAAUUUUCUCACCUCGUUGUUUGGGGACAGCUUUCAUAUAGUAAAUCAUAGGCUGAUGACUGGCUUGUGGAUGUCUGUCCUUGGUUCUGAUUCUUACCCUUGAUCUGAAUAGCCAUGGAUUCAGAGGAGGGAUAAUUGGUGGCAAGAAUGUUUUCUUGGCUAGACUUGUUUGCAGUACAGUUUCCUUUAGAAGAAUUUUGAGCAUGGGUAACACUAUGACGUAUCUGCUUUAUUCUGUCCACUUUAGCUCCCUAAUGCUGCUUCUUUGCAGCAUCUACCAAGUCUCUCAACCUCUCACCUUCUAAAUUGAAUAUAAAAUGUAAAUUCCAUGCCACAAGCUGGUUUGCACAGCAUCUUUAAAACAAGGGGUUUUCCACAAGAUCACAGUCAGUUCCCUAAAUUGCAUUCCCCAUGAGGGGCUAUUCUGCUUCUUACUAUUGAUUAGGCACUUCUGAUUGCUAGAAACAGAUUCCACAAUGAUCUAAUGACAAGUUAUUGUUUGGCUUGUGGGAAAAUAAUGGUGACUGGAAUCACAUGACAUUCCAAAUAUAGGGGAACUUUAAUAUGGUUAUGGCUUUUAGGGAAUGGGACCUGGGUCCAGAGAAGCUCUGGGAAACUCAGCAGCAAGAGUUUGUGGUUCUUCAUGUUAGGAUUGUGCCGUUUAUGUAACUGAGCUACUCUGUCUUAACUUUUGUGUCUUAUUUCUCUUACUGCCUGUUGGCCUGGCCUGUCCAUUUUGUUUUAUCUUUUUUUUUCCCUCCUCAUAUUUUUAGCUUAUUCAUAGGUUCUGCUUACUUAGGGCUUCACCUUUGCCGUAAGUUUUGCUUCCUUGUGGCCUUUGUGGCCUCACCUCUGCAUUAUAUUGGCUUGCUAUGUAUUCUUUCAGCUUCAGUUCCCUUUGCUAGCUAUGAUUACUGCUUUUUUGUGUGUUUGUGUGUCUCUUUAGGGCUGCACCUUUGACAUAUGGAGGUUCCCAGGCUAGGAGUCAAAUUGGUGCUACAGCUGCCAGCCUGUGCCACAGCACCACACCAGAUCCUUAACCCACUGAGCAAGGCCAGGGAUCGAACCCACAACCUCAUGGUUCUUAAUCUGAUUCAUUAACCACUGAGCCUCAACAGGAACUCCUGAUUUUUUUUUUCUUAAUGAAAAUAUACCAUGUUGGAAAAAAGUUAAUUUAGUUGAUAGGUUAACAAUGAGAGAUUGUUACUGUUCAAUUGAUAUAGCAACUCUCUGACACCACCUGGCCAUCAUGCAAUUCAAUUCAAUUCUGAUGCUAACGACCCUAAGUUAAUGCCAGACCCCACAAGUUGAGGGCAGUGUUUUCCUGAAGACUGCCUUCCCUUUAGUAAGUCUUAGGACAGCUCAUUCCUCAGCUAAGUUCAAGGGUUCUUAUGACCAUCUCAGGUUUGUUAAUUUGCGAGAAUAACUUCCAGAACUCCCUGAAAGUGAUAUAUGUACAGUUAGCUUUAUUAUAAAGGAUAAAACUCAGGAACAGCCAAAUGAAAAAGAUAUAUAGGAUAUAUAGGAUAUAUAGGAUCCUGGAUAAGGAGCUUCUUUGGUCUCUCCCCUUGGACUUAGGACAUUUCUCUUUCCUGGCACAUCAAAGUGUUCACCAACUAGGAAGCUCCUUGGGCUCUGGGUUUCUAGAGAUUCAUUGGAAUUUUAUCAUUAUCCACUUGGUUAAGUUCUGUUUUCAGCCCUCCUCCUCUCUGGACGUCUAAGUGGUAGGACUGAAAGUUCCAACCUUCUAGGAAUUCCCUUUGUGGCUCAGCAGAAAUAAAUCUGACUAGCAUGCAUGAGGACACAGGUUUGCUCCUGGGCCUCGCUCAGUGGGUUAAGGAUCCGGUGUUAAUGUGAGCUGUGGUGUAGGUUGCAGACGCGGCUCAGAUCUGGCACUUCUGUGGCUGUGGCUAUGCUGGCGGCUACUGCUCUGAUUCGACCCCUAGCCUGGGAACCUUCAUAUGCUGUGAGUAUGGCCUUAAAAUUUUUGAAAAAAGGAAAAAGAAAAAA